GACGUUUAGCUGCAGAAGAAGCACCGGCUAACUCCGUGCCAGCAGCCGCGGUAAUACGGAGGGUGCGAGCGUUAAUCGGAAUUACUGGGCGUAAAGCGCAUGCAGGUGGUUUGUUAAGUCAGAUGUGAAAGCCCGGGGCUCAACCUCGGAAUUGCAUUUGAAAACUGGCAAACUAGAGUACUGUAGAGGGGGUAGAAUUUCAGGUGUAGCGGUGAAAUGCGUAGAGAUCUGAAGGAAUACCGGUGGCGAAGGCGGCCCCCUGGACAGAUACUGACACUCAGAUGCGAAAGCGUGGGGAGCAAACAGGAUUAGAUACCCUGGUAG
rnacentral:rRNA from 1 species